rnacentral:rRNA from 1 species
AGUGAACGCUGGCGGUAGGCCUAACACAUGCAAGUCGAACGGCAGCACAGUAAGAGCUUGCUCUUACGGGUGGCGAGUGGCGGACGGGUGAGGAAUACAUCGGAAUCUACUUUUUCGUGGGGGAUAACGUAGGGAAACUUACGCUAAUACCGCAUACGACCUACGGGUGAAAGCAGGGGAUCUUCGGACCUUGCGCGAUUGAAUGAGCCGAUGUCGGAUUAGCUAGUUGGCGGGGUAAAGGCCCACCAAGGCGACGAUCCGUAGCUGGUCUGAGAGGAUGAUCAGCCACACUGGAACUGAGACACGGUCCAGACGCCUACGGGAGGCAGCAGUGGGGAAUAUUGGACAAGAGGCGCAAGCCUGAUCCAGCCAUACCGCGGGGGUGAAGAAGGCCGUCGGGUUGUAAAGCCCUUUUGUUGGGAAAGAAAAGCAGCAGGUUAAUACCCCGCUGUUCUGACGGUACCCAAAGAAUAAGCACCGGCUAACUUCGCGC